UACGAAGGGGGCUAGCGUUGCUCGGAUUGACUGGGCGUAAAGGGCGCGUAGGCGGUUUGUACAGUCAGACGUGAAAUUCCUGGGCUCAACCUGGGGGCUGCGUUUGAUACGUGCAGACUUGAGUUCGGAAGAGGGUCGUGGAAUUCCCAGUGUAGAGGUGAAAUUCGUAGAUAUUGGGAAGAACACCAGUGGCGAAGGCGGCUCACUGGCCCGUAACUGACGCUGAGGUGCGAAAGCGUGGGGAGCAAACAGG
rnacentral:rRNA from 1 species